rnacentral:rRNA from 1 species
GACAUAGGUGGCGAACGUUAUCCGGAAUUAUUGGGCGUAAAGAGCUCGUAGGCGGUCUGUCGCGUCGGCUGUGAAAUCCCGAGGCUCAACCUCGGGUCUGCAGUCGAUACGGGCAAACUGGAGUGUUGCAGGGGAGACUGGAAUUCCUGGUGUAGCGGUGAAAUGCGCAGAUAUCAGGAGGAACACCGGUGGCGAAGGCGGGUCUCUGGGCAACAACUGACGCUGAGGAGCGAAAGCGUGGGGAGCGAACAGG